CCUACGGGGGGCUGCAGUGAGGAAUAUUGGUCAAUGGCCGAGAGUCUGAACCAGCCAAGUCGCGUGAAGGACGACUGCCCUAUGGGUUGUAAACCUCUUUUAUAUGGGAAUAAAAUGUUCCACGUGUGGGAUGUUGUAUGUACCAUAUGAAUAAGGAUCGGCUAACUCCGUGCCAGCAGCCGCGGUAAUACGGAGGAUCCGAGCGUUAUCCGGAUUUAUUGGGUUUAAAGGGUGCGUAGGUGGGUUGUUAAGUCAGUUGUGAAAGUUUGCGGCUCAACCGUAAAAUUGCAGUUAAAACUGGCAGUCUUGAGUUCAGUAGAGGUAGGCGGAAUUCGUGGUGUAGCGGUGAAAUGCUUAGAUAUCACGUAGAACUCCGAUAGCGAAGGCAGCUCACUGGACUGCAACUGACACUGAGGCUCGAGAGUGUGGGUAUCAAACAGGAUUAGAUACCCCAGUAGUC
rnacentral:rRNA from 1 species